GAACUUCUGGAGAAGGAUGCAGCCAGGACCACAGAGAUCCUUUCUGUAUAGGAUAAUUAUCGUUGAGUUUCCUGUCUCCUGCAGCUGAGAGUCCUAGUCUGUUAGAUCAAGCAAUACUGAAUGGCUACCAAGCGCCAGGCACUGUUGUAGGAUGUUAGAGUUUGGCUUCUUGCACCAGGGGCCAGAGCAACAGUGGAGAAGCAGCCGAGGAGCGCAAACACAGUGAACAUUCCCACCUGUCCGAAGAUGACGUAGGGAAGCACCAGUGCACUGGGGACCAGAUCGCUGCCUUAACGCCAUUUCUUAAAGAUGUGCACAAGGUUUUCACGGUGUGGUGAACCAGCUCGGACCCGAUACUCUGCUAAGGAUCUGACGUCCACAGGGCAUUUUGGAAACAUUGGGCCAGGAGUCAGGAAGACCCUAGUCUGCUGCCUGCCAGGAACCAAUUGCUUGACCUUGGACAAGUCUCUUUCCGUGUCUGGGCCUCAUGCUCUUCAUCUCUAAAGACUCAGACCACACAAUCUCUAAGAUUUCUUCCAGCCCUGACGAAUGUGUUCAAUAAUUUUGUUAAAAACACCCUGUCUCAAACAAUGAAUCUGUGCUUAGCGUGUAAUGGAUACACGAUAAAUGUUUGUCACACAGAAUUAAAUCAUUGUGAUUUCCAUGGAA
rnacentral:lncRNA from 1 species